rnacentral:rRNA from 1 species
CCUACGGGUGGCAGCAGUGAGGAAUAUUGGUCAAUGGGCGCGAGCCUGAACCAGCCAAGUCGCGUGAGGGAAGAAGGUUCUAUGGAUUGUAAACCUCUUUUAUAAGGGAAUAAAGAGUGGGACGUGUGCGAUUUUGUAUGUACCUUAUGAAUAAGGAUCGACUAACUCCGUGCCAGCAGCCGCGGUAAUACGGAGUGUCCGAGCGUUAUACGGAUUUAUGGGGUGUAAAGGGUGCGUAGGCGGACUUUUAAGUCAGCGUUGAAAUCCUGUGGCUCAACCAUAGAAUUGCCGUUGAAACUGUUGGGCUUGAGUAUGUUUGAGGCAGGCGGAAUUCCUGGUGUAGCGGUGAAAUGCUUAGAUAUCACGCAGAACCCCGAUUGCGAAGGCAGCCUGC